rnacentral:rRNA from 1 species
GACGAACGCUGGCGGCGUGCCUAAUACAUGCAAGUCGAGCGCAGGAAGCUGACGGAACUCUUCGGAGGGAAGGCAGUGGGAUGAGCGGCGGACGGGUGAGUAACACGUAAGGAACCUGCCUCAAGGAUCGGGAUAACUCCGAGAAAUCGGAGCUAAUACCGGAUAGUUCAACGGACCGCAUGGUCCGCUGAUGAAAGGCGCUCCGGCGUCACCUUGAGAUGGCCUUGCGGUGCAUUAGCUAGUUGGUGGGGUAACGGCCCACCAAGGCGACGAUGCAUAGCCGACCUGAGAGGGGGAUCGGCCACACUGGGACGGAGACACGGCCCAGACUCCUACGGGAGGCAGCAGUAGGGAAUCUUCCACAAUGGACGAAAGUCUGAUGGAGCAACGCCGCGUGAGUGAUGAAGGUUUUCGGAUCGUAAAACUCUGUUGCCAGGGAAGAAUAAGGGCCAGUUAACUGCUGGUCCGAUGACGGUACCUGAGAAGAAAGCCCCGGCUAACUACGUGCCAGCCGCCGCAGUAA